UACGUAGGCAGCAAGCGUUGUUCGGAGUUACUGGGCGUAAAGGGUGUGUAGGCGGUUCUUUAAGUUUGCUGUGAAAUCUCCCGGCUUAACCGGGAGGGUGCGGUGAAUACUGAGGGACUAGAGUACGGGAGAGGAAAGUGGAAUUCCUGGUGUAGCGGUGAAAUGCGUAGAUAUCAGGAGGAACACCGGUGGCGAAGGCGGCUUUCUGGACAGUAACUGACGCUGAGGCGCGAAAGCUAGGGGAGCAAACAGG
rnacentral:rRNA from 1 species